rnacentral:tRNA from 1 species
GGUCGCGUGUUCUAAUGGUUAUGAUUUCUGUCUCACAUCGAGAUGCAAGGGCAUCCACGACAUGCUCACAGAAGGUUCCCAGUUCGAUCCUGGGCGCGACCA